rnacentral:lncRNA from 1 species
AUGGUAAUGUUCGAGAAGAAAUGAUUAUAAGCUCUGGGUUCUGCAUUCAUGCACAUUUAUCUCCUGUUACAAUUGCUCUAAGCAAAUCAGAAUUUGUGAAGUUAAAUGAUCUUCUGAGUCAAGUGAUUGAUAGGUUAUCUGGACUGGACCUUGUUCCUCGUGAUUCUGAAGAAGUGAGUUCUGACUCUCAAUCAUCAGUUCAGGACUGGACCUUGUUCCUCUUGAUACUGAAGAAGUGAGUUCUGUUUCUCAAUCAUCAGUUCUUGUUGAAUGUGAUUCCAUAACCAUAUCAAUUAAUGAGGAAGUUGUGGAGAAGAAUAAGAAGGGUUCGCUUCAGAAUGAAAUUACUGGUUCUUGGCAUAGCUUUAGACUGGAACU